CGCGUUCUUAGAGAUGUCUGCGACUGAAC
rnacentral:piRNA from 1 species